ensembl:lncRNA
GGAAGUGACUGGUCCGAGGUCUCAGAGUAGAGAAAUGGACUAAGUUCUGAUUCCGAGGCUGGGGCUGCUGCUUCAAGGCGGGAGAGAUACAUAGUCCUCCUGAGCAUCGGGAGCAAGGAGGGGUGGAGAGUGAGGGGAGGCAGAAAGAAAGAAGAGAGUGUGGGUGAUAAUGGUGAGAACGACCGAGGAGAGAGGCCCCGCGCCCCCGCCCCUCGCCCCUCGGCCCUGGCCCGGGGCCGCCCGCCGAGCCGGCCACACCCGCGGCGGAGGACUCGGAAAGGUUGGAGAGAGACCGGGAAGAGAGAGUGGGAACUACACGCCGGGCCAUUAAUUGGGCCGUAGCUCGCUUGGAGCCAGGGUAAGCUGACUGGCCGCCCUCCCCGGGAGCCACAGCUCCCGCCGGUUCCUGCCGCUCUGGCUCAGCC